UACGUAGGUGGCGAGCGUUGUUCGGAAUCACUGGGCGUAAAGCGCACGUAGGCGGAUCGUUAAGUCGAGGGUGAAAUCCCAGGGCUCAACCCUGGAACUGCCUUCGAUACUGGCGAUCUUCGAGUCCGGGAGAGGUGAGUGGAACUCCGAGUGUAGAGGUGAAAUUCGUAGAUAUUCGGAAGAACACCAGUGGCGAAGGCGGCUCACUGGCCCGGUACUGACGCUGAGGUGCGAAAGCGUGGGGAGCAAACAGG
rnacentral:rRNA from 1 species